rnacentral:rRNA from 1 species
AUGGCUAAAAAUAAAAUGAAGACUAUGGAUUCUUUCUAUAAGAAGAAAAUUAGACUUGAUGAGACAUUGGUUUCAGAUGUUGCUUGUCCUGAUUUGGAAGAAGCAGAGGGAGGGGGAGGGGGAGAGGAGGAGGAAGAAGAAAAAGAAGAAGAUGGAGGGGAGGAGGAGCAACCUGUUGAGGAGGAGGAAGAAGAAGAGGCUCCACUUAGAAUUAAUAGGGUCAAUGAUGGUAGUGGUGUUCUGGUAGUGGAAAGAGACCCAGGGCUACGUUGCCAACUUUGGGAUCUUCCUGUCAAUGACCAAGAGAAAGCAAGAAAAGCGUAUGUGAAGUGUGGAGCAUAUCACUUUAAAAAGGAAAUAUACCCUCCUACUGGUCCAGAAAGCCACCCACGCAGGUUCAGCGAACAAGCAACAGAGAUUCUCAUCCUCUGCAAUUCUUUGAAUCCCAAGGACUAA